CCAAUAGCGUAUAUUAAAGUUGUUGCAGUUAAAAAGCUCGUAGUUGAAUUUCGGGACCAAUCUGCCGGUCGUGCCUCCGGUACGCACUGGUUUUAUUGGUUUCUCCCUUCUGACGAACCAUGAUGUCAUUAAUUUGUUGUCAUGGGGAAUCAGGACUGUUACUUUGAAAAAAUUAGAGUGUUUAUAGCAGGCUCACGCUUGAAUACAUUAGCAUGGAAUAAUUAAAUAGGACGUUUGACCCUAUUUUGUUGGUUUCUAGGAUCGACGUAAUGAUUAAUAGGGAUAGUUGGGGGCAUUAGUAUUCAAUUGUCAGAGGUGAAAUUCUUGGAUUUAUUGAAGACUAACUACUGCGAAAGCAUUUGCCAAGGAUGUUUUCAUUAAUCAAGAACGAAAGUUAGGGGAUCGAAGACGAUCAGAUACCGUCGUAGUCUUAACCAUAAACUAUGCCGACUAGGGAUCGGAUGAUGUUAAUUUUUUAAUGACUCAUUCGGCGCCUUACG
rnacentral:misc_RNA from 1 species